rnacentral:piRNA from 1 species
UGCAAGAUGUUCAUCGAUACCUUCGUGGAGC